rnacentral:rRNA from 1 species
GAUCCUGGCUCAGGAUGAACGCUAGCUACAGGCUUAACACAUGCAAGUCGAGGGGCAUCAGGAAGAAAGCUUGCUUUCUUUGCUGGCGACCGGCGCACGGGUGAGUAACACGUAUCCAACCUGCCCUUUACUCGGGGAUAGCCUUUCGAAAGAAAGAUUAAUACCCGAUAGCAUAAUGAUUCCGCAUGGUUUCAUUAUUAAAGGAUUCCGGUAAAGGAUGGGGAUGCGUUCCAUUAGGUUGUUGGUUGGGGUAACGGG